rnacentral:rRNA from 1 species
UACGUAGGGUGCAAGCGUUGUCCGGAAUUAUUGGGCGUAAAGAGCUUGUAGGCGGUUUGUCGCGUCUGCUGUGAAAUUUCGGGGCUCAACCCCGAACUUGCAGUGGGUACGGGCAGACUAGAGUGUGGUAGGGGAGACUGGAAUUCCUGGUGUAGCGGUGAAAUGCGCAGAUAUCGGGAGGAACACCGAUGGCGAAGGCAGCACUCUGGGCCGGUACUGACGCUGAGGAGCGAAAGCGUGGGGAGCGAACAGG